AUUGAACGCUGGCGGCAGGCUUAACACAUGCAAGUCGAGCGAGUGGCGGACGGGUGAGUAAUGUCUGGGAAACUGCCUGAUGGAGGGGGAUAACUACUGGAAACGGUAGCUAAUACCGCAUACCAUCAGAUGUGCCCAGAUGGGAUUAGCUUGUUGGUGGUGUAACGGCUCACCUAGGCGACGAUCCCUAGCUGGUCUGAGAGGAUGACCAGCCAAACUGGAACUGAGACACGGUCCAGACUCCUACGGGAGGCAGCAGUGGGGAAUAUUGCACAAUGGGCGCAAGCCUGAUGCAGCCAUGCCGCGUGUAUGAAGAAGGCCUUCGGGUUGUAAAGCACUUUCAGCGAGGAGGCGUUACCCGCAGAAGAAGCACCGGCUAACUCCGUGCCAGCAGCCGCGGUAAUUC
rnacentral:rRNA from 1 species